rnacentral:rRNA from 1 species
UGGGGAAUAUUGCACAAUGGAGGGAACUCUGAUGCAGCGACGCCGCGUGAGUGAUGAAGGAAUUCGUUUCGUAAAACUCUGUUCUAUGGGAAGAAAAGGACUGUACCAUAGGAGAAAGCUCCGGCUAAAUACGUGCCAGCAGCCGCGGUAAUACGUAUGGAGCGAGCGUUGUCCGGAAUUAUUGGGCGUAAAGGGUGCGCAGGCGGCUUUACAAGUUGGAUGUGAAAUAUUGUGGCUCAACCACAAACGUGCAUCCAAAACUGCAAAGCUUGAGUUAAGGAGAGGUAAGUGGAAUUCCUGGUGUAGCGGUGGAAUGCGUAGAUAUCAGGAGGAAUACCGGUGGCGAAGGCGACUUACUGGACUUAAACUGACGCUCAGGCACGAAAGCGUGGGGAACAAACAGG